GAGUCCUCCUGCCUGUACCAACACAGAAAUACUACUUUUCUGGCAUCUGCAACCCUGAGUAUCCAAAUUUUAUACCAAAGUGAUGUUUAGGGAUAGGAUCCCACCAUACAAUUUUGGCUUUAAAUUCAAGCUUCCCUCCCUUCUAGAUGUUUGGCUUGAGGGUUUAGAUGUGGCUCGUCAUAAAGACACAAGAUCCAUAUGAAAUUCUGAAUUUGUACUGUGAAUGUGUUCAAACCUGCUGUAUUGGUUUACCUCAUCCCUCUGAGAAAUCCGACCAAAUAGGAGAAUAUAAAAGCAACAAAGUACAGAACAGGGCUUUUUUCCCCCACAUGCUUUUAUUAAUUUGAUUGUUUAUAGCAGAAAUGCUGCUCCUCUUACCCCUCAGGUAGGAAACGCCACAGCUGACACAAGCCAGUCUCUACCCGGGCAGCAGCAUUAAAUUAUUUAAAGUGCUGGUAGAAAUUUUUUCAAAUCAGUUUCUGCUAUGUUUUAAUCCUGGAAAUGCUUUUCAAGUAAAUAGCAAUGGUGAAGUGGCUUGUGAUAGUAAUUUUGAUAUGCAAAGUGUGCUGUUCUCUCUGCCCUUGCUGUUUUUUCACGUGGGCAUAAUUUUUAGCCUUCAGUGUUAACACCCAAGAUUAAUGGGUAUGUUCCUACUUCUAAGAGUAUUGUUUCAGCUGCUGUUAUACUGAGGCAAAAUCCCUGCACAGAUGUACGAAUAGUUCACUUUGCAGGGUUUAAGUUCACAGCCAUGAAAAUAUUCUUGACUGUUCGUAAUGGAAACUUUCAUUUUAGAGAAACAAAGUUCUUAAAUAUUCUGUGGCAGUUUUCAGCUCAUUUUAUAGGUAAAAUUUUUUGUCGAUGUCUUUGAUUUGCUGUUGAUUUAUUUCCCUCCACCGUUUCUGUCCUUCUAGGAUUAUCUGCAUUUAAUUACACAUUGUGUCAAGGUCAACAAAUUGCUGUCGAGGAUGAGGAUCUCGCUGUGCAAGGCCUGACACAAACACCAGAGGAGUUUCUGCCCAAUGCUGCCGUCACAGCCAACGUGCCGAUUUGCUUCCUCAAGAUUUCAGAGUGUGCAUCUGAGAAUUCUGACUGUGCAUCAUAAAGUUUCCCUCAGCAACUGCUAAAACUAUUCACAAGGCACUGCGGCACGGAGCAGCUCUCAAAGAUGGGAUGGACUUUCAAUACUUAUGCAUCUAGUCAGGAAACGCAUCGUGCAGAAUGAAAAAAAAAAGAAGAAAUGGCACUUUCAUGUUUCUGUUUGCAAGCUGGAUUCAUCACUCCUCAGCUAUUAGCUACAGAGUCACAGAUGGAUGAUGGUUUGCUGGAAAAUAAAUGAAGCACGAGGAUGACUUCAAACAUUUGCAGGAGCCAUGCUGACACUCAAAAUAUAGAAACAUCAAGUAACUUUCCUGGUGAGAUCAUAAAAGCAGAGCCACAGUGAUCAAAGGAGAAAAUGCAAGACUCUUACUCCAUUCCUAAUACAAGAUCCAUUCUCCUUCUGGGACCAGGAGCCUCCAUGGCACAGAGAUGCUCCCAUAGUCUACAAAUACAGUACAUAAGGUUGUCAGGAAAAUGACUGUCAUACCUUCAGCACAAAUAGCAGGGAAUAGAGGCAGUGCAGUAACACAUGGCACAGGACAGAUGCUCGGCGCUUCCUGGGAUGCACAAUGCCUGAUGGCAAGGAAUCCUGGUGGGCCAAGGACAGGAGGGUCUUGUUCCCCCUCUGAUUUCUCCAUGCAGCUUGUGAUUAAACUGGUGCUGACACCUUGCCUGGUGCCUGUUUGCACAGCCAAUAGCCCUGGGCAGGACUUCUGGCCGUAAAGCACCUACUGGAAAAGGAGAGAAUCUCAUUGUUUGAGAGCAUCUUUGCCCCUGGCAUUUGUUCAAUAGAAAAUAAAACUGAUUUUCUCCUCACUUGCCUCACGUAGAUGUGGGGUAGAUUCAAGCUGAGGCAGCCCUGUGAAAUGAGGGUGAAUGGGGAGGUGUUUGCCAAUGGAACAACCACUGCUCAGGAAGACAAGGCUGGAGAGAUUGCACAGCAUGUGAUGUGUGCUUCAGUGACAAGACCAUAAACACCACCCUGUAGUUGUCCCUCACUGAUCCAUCACACUUCUGAGCACUGAAAAACCCUGUAAUAAUGAAGGUGCUUUUUCAGUACCUAGGAGAUGGCUGUUUCAGAGAAUUCCAGCCUGCCAUGCUGGGGCUCAGCGCAAGCACCAAAUCCCAGAGUGGCUGAGGGGUGUCCUGGAUCGCACGGUGGAUACGGUGUGUGUGCUCCAGGCCACACAAUGAGGGAGCAGCCAAGCAUCUGGCCACUCUCCAAUGGCCACACUCCACCUCAAGUAUUUUCUGAGAUGAGAAAAUUACCCUUUGGCUGUUUUUCAGCUUGCUUUCCUUGGGAUGCAUUUGACAUGCCCUCCUUGUUGGGAGUGACAGGACACCUCGUGAGCAGGUGCUGUGCUGGCCUUUGGCAAGCAGUGGGACACCCAUCAGAGACUGGAGCAGUGACCAGGAAUGUCACAACUGCAGCCUGUGCUGAGCAGCUCUGAUGAAGGUUAAACAUGUGCUGCCACCACCUCUGAGGUCAGCGUUGGGCUCACUUUAGCAGUCCUAUAAAUAGAUGACCAAGGUUGACUGCAAAGAGGAUUUGGCUCGGCUGGAUCUUGUUUAGCAUUCCCAAGAGAGGAAGGCAGAUUCUUUUCCCUCUUCUCUUCCAGCCUCUAACCUUGAGUUGGUCUCUGUGGGAAGCAUUAGUGGCAUUUGCCAAAAGAGCUGCCGCCGUGAGCCGGAUGUCCUGCUGUGUCACACAAACCACACGUACACGUCUCUUCAACCUGCUAACCCAGACCUAAUUCCACUAAAGCCUCAAACUAAUUCCUCGCCAGCAAAACUAGGGAAAAAACCCAAACAAACCUUGAGCCUAAUUGCUUGAAAACAGUAGGACACCUAGUGGAUUUAUAGGGAAUAUCUUUGGGAUUAUCAGAAACAUUUUGUCAUUUUCUUGGCAAAACCAACUGUGAAUAUAUUUAUAGAGGAAUCAUUGAAAUAUCAGGGUUUCUAUUUAAUAAAUUAAUCUUGUUAUAGCUGUUACAGCCUGCAGUUUUCCUGAAGAAGUUAUUGCAACCUAUAAAAAACCCAAAGAGUGUUGUUUGCAUGACUUGAAAAAAAAUAAUUGUGGAGAAUUGGAUAGUUCCCAAGGUCUGGAAACAGGAAGAAGGGUAUUCUGCCAGAUCAAAGCCAUCCCAGUUGUUCCAUCUGACAGCUCUCUAAUGAUCUUAAUGAGCAAAGUUCUACAGUCUCAGCCUGGCUCCCUGUACAAUCGUGCAGCUUCACAGCAUCUCCACGCUGAGCACAGCCAAGCAGCUCUGCUGGUUGUUUCAGCAGAGAAUGACUUGGCCACAGAAGCCAAACUGCCUUCUUCAUUCCCCAGGGCCGCGCUUUCGAAUCCAAAUUAGAGGAUGAUGGGCCAUGUGACAAUGGCUGCUCUGCUGUCGCUCUAUUUGUCUGGAACCAACACCAACAUCAAGCAGAUUUUGACUCUAGGUAGGAAAUAAACCUCUGUGGCAGGGCGUGUAAGAGGAAGAAGAUUUGGAGUGAUGGUUCUAUGAAAUGAUAUCCUGGCCAGCAAUUAUCCUGGGGCUGCCAGUGUUAUCUUGCUGGGAUGUCUCUGGAGGCAGCAGAUGCAGACAAAGAGAUGAGUGUUGAGUCCAAAAUGGAUGCGGGAAACUGAAGACUUCAUUUUGACAGUCAGCACAAGGAACACCAAGUCAUCGAGGCGUGCACUCAAUUCCUCCCCAAAGCACAUUGAAAACUUCCCUUCCUUUCUGCUUAUUCCAUAAUAUUGUCCCAGUGAAAAAUGUCUCCAGAAGGUGGUUAAUUUUUCUGCUCCCUUGCCAGUCUUUCUUCAGUGCUGCUAAGACCCCUAAAGAACAGCAAAACCAGGAUGAGGUUUGAUUUUUGGAUAGGUCCCUGUUCAGAUCCAGGUCUUUUUUUUUAUUCCAACCUCAAGGUUAGGAAAGAAAAGGCUGAUCUAGAAAUUAAUUUUGAUUUGGUCUAUUUCAUCUUAUAUCUUUUCUUCUUAGAGCUGCAGAACUCAGAUGGUGGAAUACAAGUGAGCUAUCAGCAGAAAAAUUCCUGUUGACUCUGUGUAUUUUCAUUACUCCUACAUGUGGCACAAAAUUACCUGAAAAAUAGAAUUCCUUGCACAUUGUAGACCCUUUAAUUUGGUCCAGGGUUUUAAAAAAGAGUGGGUUUUUUUUUAUUUCUGUGCAUGGAUUUUAUACUUGAAGGGGUUUUUUUCUGACUGACAUGUCAAAAUGGGGGUAGAAUGUGCUAAGAGUAUGCUUUUGUCUAAUUCAGCAGCUGGAUUGAAAAGCUUGAAUUAUCUCUGCAUAAUUGCAAUGAUUCAUGGAUUGUUAGGAAAUUGCAAAGUAUUGAUUGGAUUUUCCCCUUAGGAAAUAUUUCUCCUCUGAUAAAACAGAGUAGGUUCUGGGGUUUUGCUUUUGUCCUUCCUGCCUUCUGCCCCAGGGAAGCCAGGGGCUGCUUUCAUCUGGAAAACAGGAAUUUGGGUCAACAGCCAUUCAAGGACAGUUUUGAAUUACUGUGAUUUCCAAUUCCAAAUCUUUCCCUGAGCUUUGCAGAGCGAUGGGCUUGGCAAAGUGUGGGCAGGGAUUUCCAAGCCUGAAAAACUGGGAUCAGCAACAAAUAGUGGCCAUCCCUCUUUCACAUUCUUCCGUUUCCAUGUCAAACACCACUGGUGUGCUCUGCAAAGAGACCUUGACCUUGUUGUGGGAAUGCUACAGCCAUCGGAGAUGGUGGCAGAUUUUCCACUUUAUUAGGCCAGGAUUUCUCUCAGGGUCUCAGGAGCUGGUGGGAGGAGGGAAGUGGGAGACUGAAAUGAAAAUCAGGUGCAGGGAGAGCCUGCACACAGUGCCUGGGGCAGCCGGAGCUGGGAGCCCUGACACACAUCUGCACAUUAAUGGUGCUGGGCCCUUUUGGCAGCUCUGUAUGAAUUUCCAGAACAGAACCAUAAAUACGCAGUUAUGAGUGUGACCUCUGCUGCUUUUCUUCUCUUAAUUGAACAUCCAAGGCCCAGCUGAGUAUCAUUCCUUGUCUCUGCUCCAGUUGCUUGGAACGUGCUGCCUCUGCAAAUGGUUCUGCCUAAGUUAGGAAUUACGAGAGUGUGCUAAUUCAAGGUUUGCCAUGAAUUUAGUGUUCCUGCAAGGAUGACACUAAUGGCAAUUAAUGCAGCAGAAAUGCCAGUGCUGAGUGACUGUUCUCCCAUUAAAAGCUGUCAGCCAGA